UCUCCGUUGGUGCACCAGCGGAGGGAUCAUUGCUGGAAGCGUCUCACGGCGCACCCAGAAACCCUAUGUGAACUUAUACCACUUUGUUGCCUCGGCGCGAGCCGGGGGCUUCUAUAAGCCCCCCCUUACCUCGGUGAGGAGCAGGCACGCCGGCGGCCAAGUUAACUCUUGUUUUUACACUGAAACUCUGAGAAAAAAAACACAAAUGAAUCAAAACUUUCAACAACGGAUCUCUUGGUUCUGGCAUCGAUGAAGAACGCAGC
rnacentral:misc_RNA from 1 species